UACAGAGGUCUCAAGCGUUGUUCGGAUUCAUUGGGCGUAAAGGGUGCGUAGGUGGCGCGCUAAGUCGGGUGUGAAAUCCCGGGGCUUAACCUCGGGACUGCAUUCGAUACUGGCGUGCUUGAGGACUGGAGAGGAGACUGGAAUUUACGGUGUAGCAGUGAAAUGCGUAGAGAUCGUAAGGAAGACCAGUGGCGAAGGCGGGUCUCUGGGCCACUACUGACGCUGAGAAGCGAAAGCAUGGGGAGCGAACAGG
rnacentral:rRNA from 1 species